AAGGGUUAUAUGAUGAUUAGAAGCAUAGUUCAGAUGAUUUAUCUGUGAUUAAUUCUGUUGUUAGUCUUUCGCUCCUAUCUGAUGACCCCU
rfam:Glycine soja cultivar W05 scaffold5056_4, whole genome shotgun sequence.